UUUACUUGAGUAACUUCUUGGGUGGACACUACACUUUUUACUUUUACUAGUACUAGUAAUAAUAGUAAUACUAUGAACUAUUGUGACUUAUAUUUGAGUAGAUUGAUUUUGCAUAAAGAAAUAGACUUAAGUUAUUGGAAACAUUAGAUUCUUAGACUUCUGCAACAUAUGAGCAAAUGUUUAUGCAAAUCAGAGAAUAUUUGCUCAGCAUGCUAGUAUUUGCAUCAUUAGUUAUUUGUAUUUGUAAACAAAAUGGGUAUUUUGUUUGAAAGGUAUAAGCUUGUUUAUGUAUUUAUAUAAAAUAAAAUGACCCUUUACUGUUCCACCUUAAAAUCCUCCAAAUUCCUCUGCCAAGUCUGAUUGUUACUGUUUUUGCAGAGUUCACCAGAAUGGAGGAUAGGAUCUCCCGUGCUACAUUCAAUGUUGAAAAGGAGUCGUUCAUAACGUACUUCCAGAGAUUCUUGGUCAGGUUGAAAGAAAGACCAUCGAUGUUGUUGCCAUGAGGCCUGCUAUCCUACAAUGUUUCUCAGUUUUCCUCAAGGACGAUGACAAAGUUCUGCAAUGUCUCUGGAUUCAGAUGCCAUGGCAGACUUCAUCCUGGUUUCUGUGGGGUUAUUGACUGUUAUGUUAUGCUAAGUAUAUCAUUUGGUUAAAAUAAAAUGUUGAAUCUUGUGAACUUAAAA